rnacentral:rRNA from 1 species
UACGAAGGGGGCUAGCGUUGUUCGGAAUUACUGGGCGUAAAGCGCGCGUAGGCGGUGAUCUUUGUCAGAGGUGAAAUCCCGAGGCUCAACUUCGGAAUUGCCUUUGAAACGGGAUCGCUUGAGUCCGAGAGAGGAUGGCGGAAUUCCUAGUGUAGAGGUGAAAUUCGUAGAUAUUAGGAAGAACACCGGUGGCGAAGGCGGCCAUCUGGCUCGGUACUGACGCUCAGGCGCGAAGGCGUGGGGAGCGAACGGG